rnacentral:tRNA from 1 species
GCUAGCGUGGCAGAAGCUCGGGCAAAUGCAAAAAGCUUAAGUCCCUUAAUUCAGAGGUUCAAAUCCUCUCCUUAGCU